rnacentral:rRNA from 1 species
AACUUUUAACAAUGGAUCUCUUGGCUUUUGCAUCGAUGAAGAACGUAGCAAAUUGCGAUAACUAGUGUGAAUUGCAAAUUCAGUGAAUCAUCGAGUCUUUGAACGCAUCUUGCGCUCAUUGGUAUUCCAGUGAGCACGCCUGUUUCAGUAUCA